rnacentral:lncRNA from 1 species
AAUAGUACUGUAAUAAUAAUAAAAAUGCUAAUAAUAGUUGUAGGUACCCAAAUUUACCCGAGCCCAAAAUCGUUAAUCAACCCAAACACAAAAAAGAAUAAAAAAACAAAAAUCCAAUCUACAAAUGGCCCAAAUAAAAAUUUUAAACCCCUAACCCAAAACCCGGAUAGCCCUAUAGGCCCAAAACCGAAGCCAAUUUCGAAACCCUAGUUUCCCCUAGUGUCGUACCCCUCCCACGUGCGUCGUCGGCGCGUCCAACGCCCGAGGUUCGGCUCCCCUUUGUCCCGUUGCUCCAAAACGGCCAUUUACGGCCCCGUUGACCUUUGUGCGUCUGCAAAAGAAAGCAAAAAAAAAAAGAAACAAAACAAGACCACAAAGCAAAAAGGAAGCAAAGAAACAACAAAGGCAUAGGCAAUAGUAAUAACGUUAAAUCAAGUGUAUUUUUUUCUGCUAUAUAAGCCCAGAAACAAAAUGUUGUAAAGGGUACACACAGCAUAUUGAGCAAUCAAAAAGCAAAAAAAAAAAAAAGGUUGACUGUUUCUAUUUUUCAUUUUCGUUUCAUUUUAUAUUUUUCAUUUUCGUUUCAUUUUAUAUUUUUUUAUUUUAUAUUUUUUUUAUUUUCUAUUACAAAUUUAUUUUAAACAAAAUAAGAGAAGAAACCUCACUGGAUAAUCCCACGUCACAUCAACGGAUCUAUUCCCCGUCGUCAAAAUCGGACUUAUAAGGGAGGGGGAGAGGCCUUUUCUUUUGCAUUUUCCGAGUUUGGAGGGCUUUGCUUUCGGACUCUCUUAAAAAGGGUUGAAAAUCUGGCCUUCGUGUGGCUCCGACCACCGUCCACGAUGGAGCCACGGCGAUUAUGGCGACGACGAUGAUGGGUUGAGAAACCCUAGCACAGAAAAUUUAUAGAAAGAGGGGCUGCUCAAAGGGAAGAAAUAAAAAAAAAGUGAAAAUUUUAGUUUAAAUAGCAGUGCCGUUUUGCACCAUAGGCACUAGCACUAAAACGGCGCCGUUUAAGGCACCCCGUGCGCGACCCGACCCUCUCCAUGGGGUGUCCGCGCAUUUCCAUGAAAAGGGUUAUUUACACCCCUAGUCCCUCUAUUUUUU